GUACACACAGCUCAGACACAAACCCAGAGAGAGGAGUACAACAGUACUAUCCGGGUGGUCAGUGCCCUCCCCAUCCAGCACCAGGACUGGAUGAGUGGCAAGGAGUUCAAAUGCAAGGUCAACAACAAAGCCCUCCCAGCGCCCGUUGAGGGAAAAAUCUCAAAACCCAAAGGGCCAGUCAGAGCUCCACAGGUAUAUGUCUUGCCUCCUCCAGCAGAAGAGAUGACUAAGAAACAGGUCAGUCUGACCUGCAUGAUCACAGGCUUCAUCCCUCCCGAAAUUGAUGUGGAGUGGACCAGCAGUAGGCCUGAUAAGCUGAACUACAAGAACACUGAACCAGUUCUGGACUCUGAUGGUUCUUACUUCAUGUACAGCAAGCUCAGGGUGGAUAAGAAGAACUGGGAGGAAGGAAAUAACUUCAUCUGCUCAGUGGUCCACGAGGGUCUGCACAAUCACCACACGACUAAGACAAUCUCCCGGACUCCGGGUAAAUGAGCUCAGCACCCACAAAGCUCCUGGGUCCUAAGGAACACUGGCACCCAUAUCCAUGCUUCCCUUGUAUAAAUAAAGCACCCA